GUCUUCAUCUUCCACGAGGACGCCUUUGAUGGGAUAGGUCUUCUGAUCCUGCUCCGACUCUGGAGGGUAGCCAGGAUUAUCAACGGGAUCCUAGUGUCAGUGAAGACCCGUGCAGACCAGAAGAUUCACAAGCUGAAGGAGAGCUAUGACCACCUGGUUCAAAGAGUCACUGAGCUACAGGAGCGCAGUGAUAAACUGGCACAAGAGAACGACAACCUGAAAGCGCUCCUCAAGAAGCACGGCAUAGACGUCUAACUCGACAAGCUCGCUGCUGCAGAGCUACGUGUACCCACAUGCUACAGAACAUUUAAUGGUUUAUUACUA